GAUGAACGCUGGCGGCGUGCUUAACACAUGCAAGUCGAACGAAGCAUUUGCGACAGAUUUUUUCGGAAUGAAGUUGCUUAUGACUGAGUGGCGGACGGGUGAGUAACGCGUGGGUAACCUGCCUUGUACUGGGGGAUAGCAGCUGGAAACGGCUGGUAAUACCGCAUAAGCGCACAAUGUUGCAUGACAUGGGGUGAAAAACUCCGGUGGUAUAAGAUGGACCCGCGUCUGAUUAGCUAGUUGGUGAGAUAACAGCCCACCAAGGCGACGAUCAGUAGCCGACCUGAGAGGGUGACCGGCCACAUUGGGACUGAGACACGGCCCAGACUCCUACGGGAAGCAGCAGUGGGGAAUAUUGCACAAUGGAGGAAACUCUGAUGCAGCGACGCCGCGUGAGUGAAGAAGUAAUUCGUUAUGUAAAGCUCUAUCAGCAGGGAAGAUAGUGACGGUACCUGACUAAGAAGCGCCGGCUAAAUACGUG
rnacentral:rRNA from 1 species